AAGAAUAUUGCUUGCUUAUUCACUAAGCACUCUCCCUCUCUCUCUCUCUCUCUCUCGUGCUCUCUUUUAUCUCUCCACUCUCUUACAUAUAUAUGUUCAAACCAGCUCCAAAAUUGUUCAGCUCCAUACGCUUCAUUUCAUUUCUCUACAUCUAAGCCCAUACAUACAUACCCUCUCUCUCUCUCUCUCUCUCUCUCACACACACACACACACACACACACACAAAGUAAGAGAGAGAUGCCUCCGGGAUGGGGACCGCCACCGGGAGGGCCACCGCCUUGUGGCUGCUGUGAUUUUCUUUUUGGUGGUAUAUGCCGAGCCAUAUCUUCAUGCUUUUACGUACUGUGCUGCUGCUGCAUCUUCGAGAGCUGCUGUGGACCAAUGUUUGGUGGGCCUCCUGGACCUCCGGGCCCACCCGGUGGCCCUCCUCCGUUUUAAUUUAAGUGAUAUGCCGAUGCCUGAAUGGAUGUCUCGUGUUUUUUUUUUUUCUUUCUGAUGAUUAAUGUCUAAACCAGUCUAUAUACAUCUCAAUUAGAAUGUUAAUGAAUGUGUUUAAGGGUCCAGAGUCUCCAGACCCAACCAAA